CCCUUAGAUGUUCGGGGCCGCACGCGCGCUACACUGAAGGACUCAGCGUGUCUCUCCCCCUAUCCCGAAAGGGAUGGGCAACCCGUUGAACCUCCUUCGUGCUAGGGAUUGGGGUUUGCAAUUAUCCCCCAUGAACGAGGAAUUCCCAGUAAGCGCGAGUCAUCAGCUCGCGUUGAUUACGUCCCUGCCCUUUGUACACACCGCCCGUCGCACCUACCGAUUGAAUGGUUCGGUGAAGAUCUCGGACUUCGAUAUUUAUUCUUUACUGAGUUUAUAUUGUGGGAAGUUAUCUAAACCUCAUCAUUUAGAGGAAGGUGAAGUCGUAACA
rnacentral:rRNA from 1 species